GGCGAGCGCCAGCGGGGCACCGUCCUCGUGUUCUAACUCGCACCCGUACGCCUCGCCGGUACCUUCGGACCACUUAUCGAGCACCGCCCUGACGCUGGCGGUUGACGUGAAGUCUUUGUUGACGAGGUCGAGGAUGAACUCGGCCGGGUUGGUAUCGGCGGUGGGCGCGUGGCCGACGCUGGCGAGGUACGCGUUCAUCUUGGCGGCUUUGCCAAAGUACGCCACCCGGCCCAUGGAGAGCACCAUGACGUUGUCGAAGCCCGCGAAGACGGAGGCGGGGGGCUGGUGGAUGGUGCACACGACCGCGAUGUUCUGAGCCUUGGCGACGUUCUUG
rnacentral:lncRNA from 1 species